CGGGGAAUAUUGCACAAUGGAGGGAACUCUGAUGCAGCGACGCCGCGGGAGUGAUGAAGGAGUUCGUUUCGUAAAACUCUGUUCUAUGGGAAGAAAAGGACUGUACCAUAGGAGAAAGCUCCGGCUAAAUACGUGCCAGCAGCCGCGGUAAUACGUAUGGAGCGAGCGUUGUCCGGAAUUAUUGGGCGUAAAGGGUGCGCAGGCGGCUUUACAAGUUGGAUGUGAAAUAUUGUGGCUCAACCACAAACGUGCAUCCAAAACUGCAAAGCUUGAGUUAAGGAGAGGUAAGUAGAAUUCCUGGUGUAGCGGUAAAAUGCGUAGAUAUCAGGAGGAAUACCGGUGGCGAAGGCGACUUACUGGACUUAAACUGACGCUCAGGCACGAAAGCGUGGGGAACAAACAGG
rnacentral:rRNA from 1 species